GUAACUUGCUCUUAUGAAUUUAGCGGCGGACGGGUGAGUAACACGUGGGUAACCUGCCCAUAACACUGGGAUAACUCCGGGAAACCGGGGCUAAUACCGGAUAACUUUUUGAACCGCAUGGUUCGAAAUUGAAAGGCGGCUUCNGCUGUCACUUAUGGAUGGACCCGCGUCGCAUUAUCUAUUUGGUGAGGUAACGGCUCACCAGGGCAACGAUGCGUANCCGACCUGAGAGGGUGAUCGGCCACNCUGGGACUGANACACGGCCCACACUCCUACGGGAGGCAGCAGUAGGGAAUCUUCCGCAGUGGACGAAAGUCUGACAGANCAACGCCGCGUGAGUGAUGAAGGCUUUCAGGUCGUAAAACUCUGUUGUUAGGGAAGAACAAGUGCUANUUGAAUAAGCUGGCACCUUGACGGUACCUAACCAAAAAGCCACGGCUAACUACGUGCCAACACCCGCGGUAAUACAUAUGUGGCAAGCGUUAUCCGGAAUUAUUGGGCGUAAAGCGCGCGCANGUGGUUUCUUAUNUCAGAUGUGAAAGCCCACGGCUCANCCGNGGAGGGUCAUUGGAAACUGGGAGACUUGAGUGCANAAGANGAAAGUGGANUUCCAUGUGUAGCGGUGAANUGCAUAGAGAUAUGGAAGAACACCAGUGGCGAAUGCGACUUUCUGGUCUGUAACUGACACUGAGGCGCGAAAGCGUGGGGAGCAAACAGGAUUAGAUACCCUGGUAGUCCACGCCGUAAACGAUGAGUGCUAAGUGUUAGAGGGUUUCCGCCCUUUUAGUGCUGAAGUUAACGCAUUAAGCACUCCGCCUGGGGAGUACGGCCGCAAGGCUGAAACUCAAAGGAAUUGACGGGGGCCCGCACAAGCGGU
rnacentral:rRNA from 1 species